ensembl:lncRNA
GAAGUGGGGGCCAGCUCACCACGCAUGAGCCUCAGUCUCCCGCGUCACAGAGGCAGACCAGUCUCUGGACCCAGGAGACGACAGAGCGACCCUGACCCUGUGAUGAAUCUGCUCCUGAAAGCUCAGAGCCAUCCUGGGACCCAUGAAUUACACAUAACAGGAUUUGAUGAAAAUUCUUGUCUCUGGGGGCCCAAACUGGCAAUAGUGCCUUAUGAGGCCACAUCCACCCCUGCCACCGGUCAGAGUGCUUCUUGGUUGGUGCAUCUUGUCCUGAUCAAACUCGCUGCUUCCUGCAAAGUGGGGCGUGGGGCUGCCACAAAAGCAGAGAAAUGCCCGGAGAAGCAAGGGUUCCCAAGACAAACUCCUGUGCAUCCCUGGUGGGGAGUCAGUGCUGCGUGUCUGGAGGGGCAGUGAUCGCUAUAGAUGCUGGAAUUUAGCUCCUAGGAAUGCUGGGUUUCAGGGGAAUUCUGCAUACUCUUCAUUAUGAAUCAUAACAAAUUUAGAAAAAGUGCCACAGAGGGGUAUUGGUCAAUUAGCAAAUAAAAAGAAUCUGUGACUUUUCUAGGUUUCGUGAUUUUUGUGGUAUUCAUCCACUUCUUAAAGUUUGUCAUUUGGAGUGACUCUUUCAUUUUAUUUUUUAAUUUAAUUUUUUGUUUUUUCAAUUAAAAAAAAUAUAGUUGAUUUAUAAUGUCUCAGGUGUAUAGCAAAGUGAUUCAGUUAUACAUACACAUACACCACUUCUUUUGGAUUCUUUUCCAUUAUAGGUUAUUACAAGAUAUUGAAUAUAUUUCCCUGUGCUACACAGUAGGGCCUGGUUUAUCUAUUUUAUAUAUAGUAGUGUUUGUCUGUUAAUCCCAAGCUCCUAAUUACUCCCUCCCCCAGACUCUGUUAUUUUAAAUAAAUGCUCCCUUUUAUGCC